rnacentral:rRNA from 1 species
AGGGUUUGAUCCUGGCUCAGGAUGAACGCUGGCGGCGUGCUUAACACAUGCAAGUCGAACGAACCUUCGGGUUAGUGGCGGACGGGUGAGUAACGCGUGAGAAUCUGCCCUCAGGAGGGGGAUAACGGUUGGAAACGACCGCUAAUACCCCAUAUGCCUACUGGUGAAAUGAGUUUCGCCUGAGGAUGAGCUCGCGUCUGAUUAGCUAGUUGGAGAGGUAAUGGCUCACCAAGGCUUCGAUCAGUAGCUGGUCUGAGAGGAUGAUCAGCCACACUGGGACUGAGACACGGCCCAGACUCCUACGGGAGGCAGCAGUGGGGAAUUUUCCGCAAUGGGCGAAAGCCUGACGGAGCAACGCCGCGUGAGGGACGAAGGCCUCUGGGCUGUAAACCUCUUUUCUCAAGGAAGAAGAUAUGACGGUACUUGAGGAAUAAGCCACGGCUAAUUCCGUGCCAGCAGCCGCGGUAAUACGGGAGUGGCAAGCGUUAUCCGGAAUUAUUGGGCGUAAAGCGUCCGCAGGCGGCUUUUCAAGUCUGCUGUUAAAGCGUGGAGCUUAACUCCAUCAUGGCAGUGGAAACUGAAAGGCUUGAGUAUGGUAGGGGCAGAGGGAAUUCCCGGUGUAGCGGUGAAAUGCGUAGAUAUCGGGAAGAACACCAGUGGCGAAGGCGCUCUGCUGGGCCAUUACUGACGCUCAUGGACGAAAGCCAGGGGAGCGAAAGGGAUUAGAUACCCCUGUAGUCCUGGCCGUAAACGAUGAACACUAGGUGUCGGGGGAAUCGACCCCUUCGGUGUCGUAGCUAACGCGUUAAGUGUUCCGCCUGGGGAGUACGCACGCAAGUGUGAAACUCAAAGGAAUUGACGGGGGCCCGCACAAGCGGUGGAGUAUGUGGUUUAAUUCGAUGCAACGCGAAGAACCUUACCAGGGUUUGACAUCCUGCGAACCUCUUAGAAAUUUGAGGGUGCCUUCGGGAAUGCAGUGACAGGUGGUGCAUGGCUGUCGUCAGCUCGUGUCGUGAGAUGUUGGGUUAAGUCCCGCAACGAGCGCAACCCACGUUUUUAGUUGCCAGCAUUUAGUUGGGCACUCUAGAAAGACCGCCGGUGAUAAACCGGAGGAAGGUGUGGAUGACGUCAAGUCAUCAUGCCCCUUACACCCUGGGCUACACACGUACUACAAUGCUACGGACAAAGGGCAGCAAACUCGCGAGAGCUAGCAAAUCCCAUAAACCGUGGCUCAGUUCAGAUCGUAGGCUGCAACUCGCCUACGUGAAGUAGGAAUCGCUAGUAAUCGCAGGUCAGCAUACUGCGGUGAAUACGUUCCCGGGCCUUGUACACACCGCCCGUCACACCAUGGAAGUUGGCCAUGCCCGAAGUCGUUACUCCAACCCUUGUGGAGGAGGACGCCGAAGGUGGGGCUAAUGACUGGGGUGAAGUCAUAACAAGGUAGCCGUA